rnacentral:rRNA from 1 species
GAUUUCUGACUUGGUGCGCGCUGUCCGUUGCGGUUACGUGACGUGUGCAGUAGCGCGCCUGUCAUACUUCUGGAUUUUGAUGUUGCCCUUCACUGGGUGAUGUCGCUAUCUAGAUCUUUUACUUUGAAAAAAUUAGAGUGUUUCAAGCAGGCUUUAUGCUAUGAAUACAUUAGCAUGGAAUAAUAAUUUAGGACUUCGGUUCUAUUUUGUUGGUUUCUAGGACUGAAGUAAUGAUUGAUAGGGACAGUUGGGGGUGCUAGUAUUCAGCGGCCAGAGGUGAAAUUCUCGGAUUCGCUGAAGACUAACUUAUGCGAAAGCAUU